AUUGAACGCUGGCGGAAUGCUUUACACAUGCAAGUCGAGCGGCAGCGCGGGGGCAACCCUGGCGGCGAGCGGCGAACGGGUGAGUAAUACAUCGGAACAUGUCCAGUUGUGGGGGAUAGCCCGGCGAAAGCCGGAUUAAUACCGCAUGAGCUCGAGAGAGGAAAGCGGGGGACCGUAAGGCCUCGCGCGACUGGGUUGGCCGAUGUCCGAUUAGCUAGUUGGUGGGGUAAAGGCCUACCAAGGCGAUGAUCGGUAGCUGGUCUGAGAGGAUGAUCAGCCACACUGGGACUGAGACACGGCCCAGACUCCUACGGGAGGCAGCAGUGGGGAAUUUUGGACAAUGGGGGAAACCCUGAUCCAGCCAUUCCGCGUGAGUGAAGAAGGCCUUCGGGUUGUAAAGCUCUUUUGUCCGGAGCGAAACGGUUAGCGUGAAUAUCGCUGACUACUGACGGUACCGGAAGAAUAAGCACCGGCUAACUACGUGCCAGCAGCCGCGGUAAUACGUAGGGUGCGAGCGUUAAUCGGAAUUACUGGGCGUAAAGCGUGCGCAGGCGGGCUUUUAAGCCAGACGUGAAAUCCCCGGGCUUAACCUGGGAAUGGCGUUUGGGACUGGAAGUCUGGAGUGCGGCAGAGGAGACUGG
rnacentral:rRNA from 1 species